rnacentral:misc_RNA from 1 species
GGAAUUAAAAUGAUUUAAUGAAACUAUAUAGAAGUUUUUAGAUUAAUUAAUUAUUUGUAUUUUCAAGAUGUAACCGUUGUGUGUGCAAUGAGUAGUUCAUUUGAAGAUCAAGUUGCAUUAGUCUGUUAUGAAGCUUAUAAAAAGUUGGGUAAAAAAGGUAAACCUGAAAGUGGUCGUGAAUGGACGAAAAUGAGUAGUGUUGUUCAGACAAAUGCUGACGGUGAAUUGAAGGUAAUAUCUAUAGCUACAGGGACCAAGUGCAUUGGGAAAAAUAUGCGAACAAGAACAGGAUAUAUUUUGAAUGACAGUCAUGCUGAAGUUCUUGCAAGGAGACUGCUUUUAAAGUACUUUUACCAACAACUUGAGGCUUCCCUUCUAAACAGUGACAAAAGUAUUUUUACUUGUUCUGGUGUUGAAACAAGAUCAUUUGAAUUGAAAGAUGAUAUUAAGUUUCAUUUGUUUUCUACUGAUAUUCCAUGUGGGGAUGCUGCUAUUUUUUUCCAAAACUCAAAAAAAAGAAAGUGUGAAUACACAGAUGAUAAUACCAAUAGCCAUAAGAAAAAAAAAGAUGAAAUUACAGAUUCUUGUGAUUCAAACUUUGAUGCAAAGUGCACAGCAAAAAUGUGUAAACGAUAUAAAACUUGCGAUGUUUUAAGUGAACCCACACAAUUUAUGAAAGAACGUUGUGUUACUGAACUUGAUAUUAACCGUACUGGUGCUAAAUGUGUUCCAUCAGGAAAUCAAGAUUUAAUGCUGCCUGGUAUUAAUUAUCAUGUAGUUAGUGCAUUGCGCAUUAAACCUGGUCGAGGUGAUCAAACAGUUUCUAUGUCUUGCUCAGAUAAAAUCAUGAAAUGGUGUGUGUUAGGUCUGCAAGGUGGAGUUUUAAAGAAUUUUAUACAAAAAAGCAUUUUUUUAUCCUCCAUAAUUAUUGCAAAUGUUCAAUUUGAUAUAGCUGCUAUCAAGAGAUCGCUUUCACUUCGAAACAGGGAAAAUAUUGAAAACUUAGCAAUACAUGUGCCUGAAAUUUUACAUACAACAUAUUUGUUUGAACAUAGAAAAGAGGCUGUCAAAUGUAAGACAAACACCGGAAAAAUAACACCUUCAGGAACAGCUAUCCUUUGGUGUCAAAUAUGUAAUAUUCAUGAAGUUUCAGCAAAUGGUCGUUUACAUGGGACAACUAAAAAAGAUUUUAACACUUCUAAAAUUCGGUCAACAUGUUAAGGUUAUAAAAUGAUCUGCUCAGUCUCGCGACAUCGACCCCAUUGAAAUUUUAAAGGAAACGUUUAAAAAAGCAGUUUCCGCUGCUUUUUCACGCUGCUUUUUCCCUUAAAAUUUCAAAUAAUGAUCAGCAGUUAUGGAAACAAGGGUUGGCACGUUAUAUCCGCACAAUGUCAACGCCUUGGUAACUUAAUGCGUAGGAGUUGGAGGAUGCCAUUAUCUAAAACAAAGAACAUCAGUUUGCAAAUCAUCUUUGUUUGAAGAUU